rnacentral:rRNA from 1 species
UGGGGAAUAUUGGACAAUGGGGGGAACCCUGAUCCAGCCAUGCCGCGUGUGUGAAGAAGGCCUUAUGGUUGUAAAGCACUUUAAGCGAGGAGGAGGGUACUGGUAUUAAUACUACCAGGUACUGGACGUUACUCGCAGAAUAAGCACCGGCUAACUCUGUGCCAGCAGCCGCGGUAAUACAGAGGGUGCGAGCGUUAAUCGGAUUUACUGGGCGUAAAGCGUGCGUAGGCGGCUAAUUGAGUCGGAUGUGAAAUCCCCGAGCUUAACUUGAGAAUUGCAUUCGAUACUGGUUAGCUAGAGUGUGGGAGAGGAUGGUAGAAUUCCAGGUGUAGCGGUGAAAUGCGUAGAGAUCUGGAGGAAUACCGAUGGCGAAGGCAGCCAUCUGGCCUAACACUGACGCUGAGGUACGAAAGCAUGGGGAGCAAACAGG